rnacentral:rRNA from 1 species
UAAUUUGGAUCUAGCCUGCCCAAUGAUUAUUAAAUGGCCGCGGUAUUUUGACCGUGCUAAGGUAGCAUAAUCAAUAGUUUUUUAAUUGAAAGCUGGAAUGAAGGGUUGGAUAAGAAAAUAACUGUUUUUAUUUAAUUUAAUUAGAAUUUUAUUUUUAAGUUAAAAAGCUUAAAUUUUAUUAAAAGACGAGAAGACCCUAUAGAGUUUUAUAAAUAACCAUAUUAAUAUAUUAAGAAUUAAUUUUAUUAAUAAGUGUAUUUAUUUAAUUGGGGUGAUUGAAAAAUUAAAUAAACUUUUUUUAUAUUAAAACAUCUAUAAAUGAAUAUUUGAUCCAUGAUUAAUGAUUAUAAGAUAAAAUUACCUUAGGGAUAACAGCGUUAUCUUUUUUUAGAGUUCAAAUCGAAAUAAAGGAUUGCGACCUCGAUGUUGGAUUAAAAUUAAUUUUUGGUGUAGAAGCUAAAAUAUUAGGCCUGCUUCGACCUUUAAAAUUUUACAU